UACGUAGGGGGCUAGCGUUGUCCGGAAUCAUUGGGCGUAAAGAGCGUGUAGGCGGCUUGGUAAGUCCGCUGUGAAAGUCCUGGGCUCAACCCUGGAAAGCCAGUGGAAACUGUCAAGCUAGAGUCCGGAAGAGGCGAGUGGAACUCCUGGUGUAGCGGUGAAAUGCGCAGAUAUCAGGAAGAACACCAAUGGCGAAGGCAGCUCGCUGGGACGGUACUGACGCUGAGACGCGAAAGCGUGGGGAGCAAACAGG
rnacentral:rRNA from 1 species